AUUGAACGCUGGCGGCAGGCCUAACACAUGCAAGUCGAGCGGAGCUGCGGACGGGUGAGUAAUGCCUAGGAAUCUGCCUGGUAGUGGGGGAUAACGUCCGGAAACGGGCGCUAAUACCGCAUACUAUCAGAUGAGUCUAGUGGGGAUUAGCUAGUUGGUGGGGUAAAGGCCUACCAAGGCGACGAUCCGUAACUGGUCUGAGAGGAUGAUCAGUCACACUGGAACUGAGACACGGUCCAGACUCCGACGGGAGGCAGCAGUGGGGAAUAUUGGACAAUGGGCGAAAGCCUGAUCCAGCCAUGCCGCGUGUGUGAAGAAGGUCUUCGGAUUGUAGAGCACUUUAAGUUGGGAGGCGUUACCAAAAGAAUAAGCACCGGCUAACUUCGUGCCAGCAGCCGCGGUAAUUC
rnacentral:rRNA from 1 species